UACAGAGGAGCCAAGCGUUGUCCGGAUUGACUGGGCGUAAAGCGCACGCAGGCGGAUGCGCGCGUGGGGUGUGAAAUCUGGCCGCUUAACGGCCAGGCGCCAUCCCAUACGGCGCGUCUGGAGGGAUGCAGAGGUCGAUGGAAUUGCCGGUGUAGUGGUGAAAUGCGUAGAGAUCGGCAGGAACACCCCAGGGGGAAACCGAGUCGACUGGGCAUG
rnacentral:rRNA from 1 species